rnacentral:rRNA from 1 species
UAGAGUAAUGCGUGACCAACCUGCCCCAUGCUCCAGAAUAGCUCUUGGAAACGGGUGGUAAUGCUGGAUGCUCCAACUUGACGCAUGUCUUGUUGGGAAAGUGUUUAGUGGCAUGGGAUGGGGUCGCGUCCUAUCAGCUUGUAGGCGGGGUAAUGGCCCACCUAGCUUCGACGGGUAGCCGGCCUGAGAGGGCGGACGGCCACAUUGGGACUGAGAUACGGCCCAGACUCCUACGGGAGGCAGCAGC